rnacentral:rRNA from 1 species
UACGUAGGGUGCAAGCGUUGUCCGGAAUUAUUGGGCGUAAAGAGCUCGUAGGCGGUUUGUCGCGUCGAAUGUGAAAACCCGGGGCUCAACCCCGGGCCUGCAUUCGAUACGGGCAGACUAGAGUUCGGUAGGGGAGUCUGGAAUUCCUGGUGUAGCGGUGAAAUGCGCAGAUAUCAGGAGGAACACCGGUGGCGAAGGCGGGACUCUGGGCCGAUACUGACGCUGAGAAGCGAAAGCGUGGGGAGCAAACAGG